rnacentral:rRNA from 1 species
UAGGGAAUCUUCCACAGUGGACGAAAGUCUGAUGGAGCAACGCCGCGUGAGUGAAGAAGGGUUUCGGCUCGUAAAACUCUGUUGUUAAAGAAGAACAUAUCUGAGAGUAACUGUUCAGGUAUUGACGGUAUUUAACCAGAAAGCCACGGCUAACUACGUGCCAA